UACGUAGGGGGGCAAGCGUUGUCCGGAAUCAUUGGGCGUAAAGAGCGCGUAGGCGGCCCUGUAAGUCCGCUGUGAAAGUCAAGGGCUCAACCCUUGAAUGCCGGUGGAUACUGCAGGGCUAGAGUCCGGAAGAGGAGAGUGGAAUUCCUGGUGUAGCGGUGAAAUGCGCAGAUAUCAGGAAGAACACCCGUGGCGAAGGCGGCUCUCUGGGACGGUACUGACGCUGAGACGCGAAAGCGUGGGGAGCGAACAGG
rnacentral:rRNA from 1 species